GUCCCCUUCGUCUAGAGGCCUAGGACAUCGCCCUUUCACGGCGGCAACAGGGGUUCGAAUCCCCUAGGGGACGCCA
rnacentral:tRNA from 1 species